AAUCAACGCUGGCGGCGUGCCUCAGACAUGCAAGUCGAACGCGAAAGCCCCCUUCGGGGGGCAAGUAGAGUGGCGCACGGGUGAGUAACACGUAGGUAAUCUACCUUUGGAUGGGGAAUAACCACCGGAAACGGUGGCUAAUACCGCAUAAUGCAGCGGCACCUAAUGGUGACAGUUGUUAAAGCGGGGGAUCGCAAGACCUCGCGUCUAAAGAGGAGCCUGCGGCGGAUUAGCUAGUUGGUAAGGUAACGGCUUACCAAGGCGAUGAUCCGUAGCCGGCCUGAGAGGGCGGUCGGCCACACUGACACUGACAUACGGGUCAGACUCCUACGGGAGGCAGCAGUCGGGAAUUUUGGGCAAUGGGCGAAAGCCUGACCCAGCAACGCCGCGUGAAGGAUGAAAUCCUUCGGGAUGUAAACUUCGCAAGAACGGGAAGAAUAAGCCGGUGUCAACACCACCGGCGAUGACGGUACUGUUUGUAAGCUCCGGCUAACUCCGUGCCAGCAGCCGCGGUAAUAC
rnacentral:rRNA from 1 species